CAUUGGAGCAAGAUUUUUGGUAGAAAAGUUUACACAACAAAUCGAGAGGUAUUUUGCGAUUAAAAUAGUCCGAGGAAGCGAUAACUUGGGUCUCUAGGUACACCCAAAAUGAAAUUGGUUUUUCCAUGAACUCGGAACCCUAAGGAUAAUAUUGGGCAUAAAUAACUAUUAAAUCUCGACAAAUACGCUUGAAUAGGUACAGUAUAGAGUUAUUUAGCAUAUCAUGAUAUAAUAUUCGCAUAAUACCAGAACAUCAAAAAGCUAUAAUUUUGAAACCUAAUCAGUCUGCAAUUCUGAUUUCACCAUCGUUCUUCUGAAAUAGG